CACCGCGGUUAUACGAGAGGCCCUAGUUGAUAUCCACGGCGUAAAGAGUGGUUAGAAACAAAUAUAAAACUAAAGCCAAAGACCUUCCAAGCCGUCGCACGCACCCCGAAGGCACGAAACCCAAACACGAAAGUAGCUUUAUUAUUACCGACCCCACGAAAGCUAAGAAA
rnacentral:rRNA from 1 species